rnacentral:miRNA from 1 species
UAAAUUAAAAAGUAGUAGUCAAAUAUGCAGAUCUAUGUCAUAUAUACAGAUAUGUGACUACUACUUUUUUUUUUUA